CCUACGGGAGGCAGCAGUGAGGAAUAUUGGUCAAUGGGCGCGAGCCUGAACCAGCCAAGUCGCGUGAGGGAUGAAGGAUCUAUGGUUCGUAAACCUCUUUUAUAAGGGAAUAAAGUGCGGGACGCGUCCCGCUUCGCAUGUACCUUAUGAAUAAGGAUCAGCUAACUCCGUGCCAGCAGCCGCGGUAAUACGGAGGAUCCGAGCGUUAUCCGGAUUUAUUGGGUUUAAAGGGUGCGCAGGCGGUCUGUUAAGUCAGCGGUCAAAGCCCGGGGCUCAACCCCGGCCCGCCGUUGAAACUGGCAGUC
rnacentral:rRNA from 1 species